GAAAAAGGAGCUGGGGGCCGCGGUGCGCGCCCCCCGCCGCCGCCCCGGGGGGCCCCCAGUCUUCGGGUUCCUGGGCCAGGGAGCAGAUCUGAGCUUCAGUUGGAACUUACCCUGAAGCUGUGCUCAUGCCAGAUCCUUAACCUGCUGUGCUGGCUGAAGAUCAAAGCUGCAUCUCAGCACUCCAGAGACACUACUGAUCCCAUUGCGCCACAGCAGGAAUUCUGACAACUAAUUUUUAAUUGCAAAUAUUGGAUCCUUUUAGCUUAAGAGGAUACAUGCAAAAUAUAAGAAGUGACCAUUCUUGGCUAUCUUUGGGUGCAAGGCAGUGAACCAGGUGUUGUGAGAAGAUACAACUUGCCUUUGAAGAGCUAACCGCUUGGAGGAGAGAAAACCACAUCAGAUUCGUUUCUGCUGAGCCACCAAGGGAACUCUCAUGAGCUUCUAAAUCAAAUCGAAGACUGAAGAAUUUUACUUAACCUCGUGGAUCUUAUAUCUGCAUUCCCCCAAACUCAACAUGAGAGUGACUGUGUCUUGCUAUCCUCAUGCCUACGGCACGUGGGAAGUGCUCCCUGAAGCUCUGUUGUGUGAAUGAAGACAUGACCGCAGUGUUUAGCCAGUCCAGGAACUUCUAAAACUGUAUGAUCGUCUGGGGAGUUGCUGUCGUGGCUCAGCAGAAACGAACUCGGCUAAUAUCCAUGAGGAUGUAAGCUCUACAAAACCUGGACGUAUCCCUGGGACCCAUGGUUUCGGUGCUCUCCCAGCAGAUCCAGGGACUCAUGUGCCACGGGAGGAUCUUCUGUUUGAAAAGACAAAGGAGUUCCCAUCAUGGCUCAGUGGAAACAAGUUUGACUGGUAUCCAUGAGGAUGCAGGUUCAAUCCCUGGCCUCACUCAGUGGGUUAAGGAUCCCACGUUGCUGCGGCUGUGGUGUAGGCUGGCAGCUACAGCUCCGAUUUGACCUCUAGGCUGGGAACCUCCACAUGCCACAGUGCAGCCCUAAAAAGACUAAAUAAAUAAGUAAACAGACAGAGAUUCCCAUCUCCAGGGCUUUCCAAAGCAUCCAUGCCACGUGCUCUUGUGGAAGGCAGGGAGGCCUGUGUUUUGACGUGCUUCCUGUCCCAUCUGUGGGAUGCAGUUUCCAGGUGGAGCUUGGGGCAGAGGCCAGCCGGAAACCCAUGAGGCCAGGGAAGGGCUGCUUUCCACUGUUCGUUGCCUCUGUGCCACAUGGAUGCUACAGUCCAGCCUUGGUGCAAACUCUGGUCAGUCUCCUAGAAGUUGGAACAUGGUUCCUUCUCUCCAGGCCAGGACUGCUGGUCUAGGCCUCAAGCUGGCAGAACUGCCAUUUGACUAUAAUUCUUAAAUCUGGCUUUUAAGAAUCAUAUUUUGCAAAAUGGGAGCAUUUGUCUGCCAGCUCGGGACAACCUAGGACUUGGGAACUCAGUGCUUAGGACCCAGGAGGCUCCUUGGAUCUGCUCUGCUUUGUAUCGUUUCACAGUCCUUGAUAGCAAGUCAGAUGUGAAAGCCAGAGAUGGGCAAUGCUGCUUUAAAAACAUGUAAGGACGGAGUUUCCUUGUGGUCUAGUGGUUAAGGAUCCAGCAUUGUCACUCUGUGGCGCAGGCUUGAUCCACAGAGUGACAAUUUCCACAUGCUGCCUGUGCAGCAAAAAGAAAAAAAAAAAUAGGGGCCCUUCUAGAUGCAGACAGUAGAUUAAAGCUUCCCUAAAGAAUUCCUCUUUUCCAGUUCCUAACAAAAUUAAGUAGAUAAAAUCACAGGGGAAAUUUACUAUCAGCAACAAAUACAAUACACUUCAAAUGUGGCAUCCAAAGAAAGAAUCAGAAGAUUUUGAGUGGCAAGGAGUGGCACAGCGCACCUCUGCUCCCUAUUCUGUCCUCAAAGCCCAGAGGAUGACAAAAGCCUUGCACAUUCCUCCCAGUGCUCCUGAAUCUGCAAAGAACCAUUUAUGAGUCAUACCCUUAUAUUCUUCCUCUUCUGAAUGAGCAAUAUUAAAAAGCAUGCUGGGUUGAAAUAGAGGAAGCUUGGCGCAUGAUCCAUGGGGCUGACUCAGCCAGUGGAAAUACAGACUCCAGAUCAACACUCCAACUUGAGAAAUUGAUCCAAAGCCUGGGUUAUCCUCCUUCCUUGGAAAAGGUGUAUGUUGUCCCCCUUGCCAUGCCCAGCAGGUGACCUGAGACUUGUGCUGGACAUUCAUCAGAACCUCAGGACAGGGAUACGCACAGCUAUACCAACAAAGGCUGCACCUGCUUUGACUGAGCUGUCCUCUUCAGACGACCAAAAAGUUCAUAGACUCUACGUGCCCUGCCUGUCUUUUAGGUCAGAGGGAAAAACACACUGGUCUCAAACAUGAGAAGAUGGUCAGUAAGCAACCCCUCCUUGCUGUCAUAUUCUGGCAGCAUAAAGAAGAUCUGGACAGAGUCUCGAAACCAAGAUGGAAAGAAAUGGAUGCCAACUCAUGACAGCGAAUUAUAAAUGAUACAUAGAAGGAAAACCGUGGGCAAAAGACUAGGGCUCCUCCCCUCCCCCCAAAAGGAAAUUUCUUACCACUGCUUUAUAUAUAAAGCACCUUAGUAAGAACAUGAAUUUAAUAAAUUGGAGGCUCCAAGAUGGGGUGAUAAAACAAAAGAACUGAUGGAAAGGAAGCAAACUGAGAACAAAAGCAACACCAUGAUAGAAUAAACAAAUAAGAACUAACAAGAAAGAGAACUGACCCCACUGAAACUCCAGUGACUGAGCUGGGGCAGCUAAACAAGGUAAGGUGAUUUAAGAAAUUAGAACUAAUAGAAAUGGAAUACAGAUAAAGACGACCCAAUAUAAGGAUUCAUUGAUAUUGCUGAAGAAGAGAAACCAAAAAUAGAGCUAAAAGAGAAUUCUAACACAGAAGAAGCAAAACUAAAACUGCAGAUUGAAAGACACUAUGUUCCAGAAAAGCUCUACUCAGAAUGUUUAAUACUAAGACAUGUUUUUAGUUAUUGAAC
ensembl:lncRNA